UUACGGGCGGCAGCAGUGGGGAAUAUUGGACAAUGGGCGAAAGCCUGAUCCAGCCAUGCCGCGUGUGUGAAGAAGGCCUUCGGGUUGUAAAGCACUUUCAGUGGGGAAGAAAGCCUUGGGGCUAAUACCCUCGAGGAAGGACAUCACCAACAGAAGAAGCACCGGCUAACUCCGUGCCAGCAGCCGCGGUAAUACGGAGGGUGCGAGCGUUAAUCGAAAUUACUGGGCGUAAAGCGCGCGUAGGCGGUCUGAUAAGCCGGUUGUGAAAGCCCCGGGCUCAACCUGGGAACGGCAUCCGGAACUGUCAGGCUAGAGUGCAGGAGAGGAAGGUAGAAUUCCCGGUGUAGCGGUGAAAUGCGUAGAGAUCGGGAGGAAUACCAGUGGCGAAGGCGGCCUUCUGGACUGACACUGACGCUGAGGUGCGAAAGCGUGGGUAGCAAACAGGAUUAGAUACCCCAGUAGUC
rnacentral:rRNA from 1 species